UUGCUUUGAAAGGGCCAUGAA
rnacentral:piRNA from 1 species